rnacentral:rRNA from 1 species
UAAUACAUAAGUAACCUGCCCUAGACAGGGGGAGUAGCUAUUGGAAACGAUAGCUAAGACCGCAUAGGUACGGACACUGCAUGGUGACCGUAUUAAAAGUGCCUCAAAGCACUGGUAGAGGAUGGACUUAUGGCGCAUUAGCUGGUUGGCGGGGUAACGGCCCACCAAGGCGACGAUGCGUAGCCGACCUGAGAGGGUGACCGGCCACACUGGGACUGAGACACGGCCCAG